GACGAACGCUGGCGGCGUGCUUAACACAUGCAAGUCGAACGGUGAAGCGCCUUCCUUUUUGGUGGGUGUGGAUGAGUGGCGAACGGGUGAGUAACACGUGAGUAACCUGCCCCCUUCUUCUGGAUAACCGCAUGAAAGUGUGGCUAAUACGGGAUAUUCUGGGUCUGUCGCAUGAUGGGUCUGGGAAAGAUAUUGUUUCGGUGGGGGAUGGGCUCGCGGCCUAUCAGCUUGUUGGUGGGGUGAUGGCCUACCAAGGCGGUGACGGGUAGCCGGCCUGAGAGGGUGGACGGCCCCACGGGGGCUGAAACACGGCGCAGACUCCUACGGGAGGCAGCAGUGGGGAAUAUUGCACAAUGGGAGGAAGCCUGAUGCAGCGCCGCCGCGUGAGGGAUGGAGGCCUUCGGGUUGUGAACCUCUUUCGCCAGUGAAGCAGGCCUGCCUCGUUUGUGGGUGGGUUGACGGUAGCUGGAGAAGAAGCGCCGGCUAACUACGUG
rnacentral:rRNA from 1 species